rnacentral:rRNA from 1 species
GACGUAGGAGGCGAGCGUUGUCCGGAUUCAUUGGGCGUAAAGAGCGCGCAGGCGGCUUGGUAAGUCGGAUGUGAAAUCCCGAGGCUCAACCUCGGGUCUGCAUCCGAUACUGCCCGGCUAGAGGUAGGUAGGGGAGAUCGGAAUUCCUGGUGUAGCGGUGAAAUGCGCAGAUAUCGGGAGGAACACCUGUGGCGAAGGCGGCCCCCUGGUUGGAUACUGACGCUGAUACGCGAAAGCGUGGGGAGCAAACGGG